GCUUUGGAGGGCGGGACUGAAUGGGGGUUAAUCAGAGGAUGCGAUUGCUGACCAUUUGCACUUUGGCAUGGCCCAUCCCCUAAUUUCUGACCAGAAGCCCUCCCUGUACCCUAAGCUCGUGCGUCACGACGCCGCCAGCUGAUCGGAGCCUGGAGCCGGUGUGUGCUGGGCGCCGUGAAGAGACAGCGCCGCCGGCCGUGGGGAGAGGACGCAGUGAUUUGCUCCCCUCUGCGCAGCAACCCCCACACCCAGCACCAGGCCCCCAGAACUCUCCUUCCAGCUGAACUCCCUGGGAACAAAUCAUUUGGGCUGAUGACUGAACUCAUAUUUCUGGACCUGAGGAGCCUGUUCCUCUCACACCCUCACCUGGCUGAGCCGCAGUAGUUCUUCAGUGGCAAGCUUUAUGUCCUGACCCAGCUAAAGCUGCCAGUUGAAGAACUGUUGCCCUCUGCCCCUGGCUUCGAGGAGGAGGAGGAGCCGCUUUCCCCGUCAUCUGGAAGGUGACAGAAAUGGGCUGGGAAGGUCCGAACAGCAGGGUUGAUGAUACGUUUUGGGAAAGCUGGAGAGCCUUUGCCCAGAUUGGCCCAGCAAGGAGCGGUUUUAGAUUAGAGACACUGGCUGAAUUGAGGAGUAGAAGGCUCAAACAACCCCAGGUUAGUUGGUCUUUGUGUGACAGUGGGAAGAAGUGGAGAGAACACUCUGUCUCCCGGACUUCCUUCUUGACCCUCCUUCCGUAUCUCUUAUUCUUCCCCACUGGCCUUUCCAGAUGAGGUCCGAAAGUAAGCUCACUCUUCAAGGAAAAGUGACACUAAACCCGGGGCUUUCUGCCUCCAAGAUGUGGCGCCAUAGUGCAGCGCCCUGUGGCUUCACCGCCCUACUUCCACCUCCGCCCAGCCUGCAGUGUUUAUGUAAAGCAGCCUCAAGGACCAAGAGCCAUCUGCGAAAGGACAUACACAGGAAAUUCAUAAAAGAAAUUGGAAUGGAUAAAA